rnacentral:lncRNA from 1 species
GGUACCAAGAUUGUUAAAUUUAUCUAUUUGCAAAAAUACUUGAAUAGAAGAAAUUCAGUUUGUUCCCUCCACCCCCACCAAUGGGUUUUUAAAUUUUCAAAAUACAGUUCAGGUAAAAUGUACUCAAUGUUGUGCCUGCUUCCUAAUGCUGGGGAGUAGAAAGUGGCUACAGGCAGCAGCUUAGCUUGCGCACCUUGAUGGCUGUUCAAAAGAGUGCUAACAAAAGUAUAAGCCUGAUUUGGCAAUUGUUAGAUAACGAAAAGCCUCAUUUCAUCUCCACAAGUCAAUUUUUCAGUAAUCCUGGCUUCCGUCCUAACCACCCCACAAAAUUCCAAUGGAGUUCCUGUUUGCCUACCUUGGUAAGUAAGGCUCCUGGUAAACUUGCUUUCUUAGUACAUCCAAGAGAUAGCCAAGAUAAACUUGUGAGAAAACAUGUUAGCGAUAUGUUGGACUUCAAAUGGCUAAGUGAUCUAAGGACUUAGCAUCAAUGUCUGACACUUAAGUACUUUUUCUAUUGAAAAUAAGAAAGAAAAGCUGCCCUUUCCAUUAGAAUCCAACUGAAAUUUGAAAUGCCCCUUUCUACAAGUAAAGCUGGCUCAGGAGCGGGCUGAGGUCUUUAGAUGAUGAAUACAAACCCUGCAUGUUUCCAGUACUGCAGCUAUUCUCAAUCUCCUGGGCUGCCUGGACAGCUGCCUAGGUUAGGCUGCUCUUGAAAAUGCAGGGAGGCUCUGAGAACUAGGCCUUAUCACAGAAUCAAAAUGGUAAACUCAACAGUUCUCUCAUGUCAGUAUAGUUAAUGCAACCCUGUCACCUGACCUGUGUCAGUGUUUCCUUAGGGCAAUUAUAUUGCUAAAAUUAUUAGCACAACUGGCUCCGUAACUUGGAGUCUUAAAAACCAUAGGGGGCCUUGGGGGUCCACAAGCCCCACAUAAUUGUGUGAAUAUAUAUAUAUAUAAUAUAUAUAUAUAUAUAUUGAAUAUAUUAUAUAUAUUCAAGUGGGUUCAAGAACUCAGGAGGUUGUCAAAUUCCUUGGUGGUUAAAAACCCCUUAGGGCAGGGGCUUCUCAGCCUUCCUGCCAGCUAAAUGGUAACAGUGGAGUUGACUGGAACAUCAAGAACGAAUGCAGCUACAAAUCAAUAAUCAAGAAAAGCUGUGCCAGGAGGACGGCUUGGGACCUUCAAAACCAAGCUUGCUGGUUCUAUUCUGGCAGGUGGUCUCCUGCAGAAACUGUAAAAUCAACUUUUCUUUGAUCUAAAGAUUGCAUUAAAUGUCUAUUUU